AGAUCAAAUCUAUACCGUUGAAAUCCUCCAGAAAUCGUUUGCGUUUCUCAAUUUUCAUCCGUUUUCAUAAUGGAGAAAGGUUUCUCUCUGAAGUCUGAACGUUCAAGUUUCUCGCUGUGCUCCGUUUCACUUCCCUUUUCCUUCCCAUCUUCCCAUUCGACGGUUCCCAAAAUCUACCACGUCAAAUAGAGAGAAAUCGAGAGAGAGAGAGAGAGAGAGAGAGAGAGAGAGAGAGAGAGAGGGAGGAUGAGAUUGGAGGCGAGAGACGUUGAGCGGCCACCGUCAGCGGUAAAAGAGAGCACUGGUGAGGCCAAGCCUCUUAGCGGAGGUGAAGGAGGCGACGUGGAAGACUCGAAGGAGGUUCGUAGGUUGUGGUGUUGCUACGGCUUUGGGUUCGUGUUGUGUGGCGCUUCAUUCCCUUUUCCUUCUUAUUCAUUCCUUUCUCUUUGCUGAUUCUUCCAUCUCCAAACUCAGGCGGUGGUGCUGCGAUCUACUCUUCUUCCUUCCCUUCUCUUUCCUGAUUCUUCAUCUCCCAGCCCAGACGGUGGUGAAAUGAUCUGGGAUUUAGGGUGUCGCUUUGCAUCACCUCCAUAGGUCUGCCGCUCUUUCGAUCAUCAGGAUUUGGUCAGGACAUUCUUCCUUCCAAGAUUAUGGUGGCUUCUACAUAACCUUGAUGCUGGUCUGGAUUCAGGCUUGCUGAUCCCUUGGCCUAUGGAAUUGUCAAUCCUUUCUUUCUUUGGCUUAAUAUUAGCAUCCAUGUUUGCUAAUGAGAUUUAGUGACUUAAAGAUGACGAGGACGUUUAUCAAGAGCAUGAUUUAGAGUUCGAAUUUGGAUUUGGCAACAUUAUAGUGGUCAAUAGCGGUGUUUCUCAAAUUUGUCUAGACCAUGCUGAGGAAUUCAGUCGCAUAAGCUUUGUGUAAGAGGAACGAAUUGGGGAUGAAGUAGAACUGUGUUCUGCUAGGAAUUCAGUCCUCCUUUCAGCACUACUGCAGCAGCUAUGGACUCCACCUCAUUAUGUAGAGUUGCAGUGGUACUGCUACAGUAAGGGGUCAAAUAUUGGGAAAUUGAAUUCGUGUGCAUAGCUUGGUCCUACCAUGGCUUCCCUUAGAUCUACUCCAUAAGGCAUGAUAUCAUGGAUGCCAAGUGUCUCAUGCCAGGCUUGCUGUUAGCCAUCAGAAAAGUAGUGCAUCUUAAGGUCCAUAUCUUUUUGAACUGUUGAGUGAAGAAAGUCUGCUGCCAAGAAGCCAGCAGCAGGCACCAGGAAGAUGAAUGCAGCAGCAAGAAGAAAACAAUCAUUAUGUCAGAAGUUCAUAACUGAUAUGUUGCAGCCUGCUGAAGUGAAUGAAUGGAUUCUUCAUAUACUUGGUCUAUCACUUAUUUCUCUUAACUGGCCAUAAUUUGAGGACUAGGAACUGCACAAACCAGGAGCUAAUUAUAGUGAAUGUUAAUGCAUAUGUAGUAUCACAAUUGGUAGAAUGUGAUCUAUCCCGGAAAAGAAAGAUGACAUAACUGAGGCUCCUUGACAUGAACAUUAAGAUCAAAUCCCUUCUUUAAUCUUAGCUCAGGAAAUACUGUACAUGUUAGGUAGACCUUUCAUGUGAAAGCUUCUUCAAGUAAACACUCCUCUUUACAAGCAUGACGGUUAAACUGAGAGGAACCGUUGCAACAGAAUGAUUAAGUGUGUGACUGCUGACCAUAUGAAAAGUGUAUGUAUAGAUCACUCUAUUAGUAGACUCAUGCAAGUGGAUAAUAAAUUAUUUUGAA